rnacentral:rRNA from 1 species
AACGAACGCUGGCGGCAGGCUUAACACAUGCAAGUCGAGCGAGACCUUCGGGUCUAGCGGCGGACGGGUGAGUAACGCGUGGGAACGUGCCCUUCUCUACGGAAUAGCCCCGGGAAACUGGGAGUAAUACCGUAUACGCCCUUUGGGGGAAAGAUUUAUCGGAGAAGGAUCGGCCCGCGUUGGAUUAGGUAGUUGGUGGGGUAAUGGCCCACCAAGCCGACGAUCCAUAGCUGGUUUGAGAGGAUGAUCAGCCACACUGGGACUGAGACACGGCCCAGACUCCUACGGGAGGCAGCAGUGGGGGAUCUUAGACAAUGGGGGCAACCCUGAUCGAGCCAUGCCGCGUGAGUGAUGAAGGCCUUAGGGUUGUAAAGCGCUUUCAGCUGGGAAGAUAAUGACGGUACCAGCAGAAGAAGCCCCGGCUAACUCCGUG